rnacentral:rRNA from 1 species
GUGGGGAAUAUUGGACAAUGGGCGCAAGCCUGAUCCAGCCAUGCCGCGUGAGUGAUGAAGGCCCUAGGGUUGUAAAGCUCUUUCACCGGUGAAGAUAAUGACGGUAACCGGAGAAGAAGCCCCGGCUAACUUCGUGCCAGCAGCCGCGGUAAUACGAAGGGGGCUAGCGUUGUUCGGAUUUACUGGGCGUAAAGCGCACGUAGGCGGACUAUUAAGUCAGGGGUGAAAUCCCGGGGCUCAACCCCGGAAC